rnacentral:rRNA from 1 species
UACGUAGGGUGCGAGCGUUAAUCGGAAUUACUGGGCGUAAAGCGUGCGCAGGCGGUGAUGUAAGACCGAUGUGAAAUCCCCGGGCUUAACCUGGGAAUUGCGAUGGUGACUGCAAGGCUAGAGUUUGGCAGAGGGGGUAGAAUUCCACGUGUAGCAGUGAAAUGCGUAGAGAUGUGGAGGAACACCGAUGGCGAAGGCAGCCCCCUGGGUCAAAACUGACGCUCAUGCACGAAAGCGUGGGGAGCAAACAGG